CAGCCCCUCGAGUGGUGGGGAUGAUUAUUUGGCCCAAAGCGCCCGUAGCCGGCCGAGUAAGUCCCCCGUUAAAUCCAGCGUCUCAAGCGUUGGACUGCGGGAGAUACUACUUGGCUAGAGAGUGGGAGAGGUCAGCGGUAUUCUGGGGGUAGGGGCGAAAUCCUUUGAUCCCCGGAGGACCACCAGUGGCGAAGGCUGCUGACUAGAACACGUCUGACGGUCAGGGACGAAAGCUGGGGUAGCGAACCGGAUUAGAUACCCGAGUAGUCC
rnacentral:rRNA from 1 species